rnacentral:misc_RNA from 1 species
GCUACUACCGAUUGAAUGGUUUAGUGAGGACUCCUGAUUGGCGCCGCCGCCCCGGCAACGGAGCAGCGGACUGCCGAAAAGUUGUUCGAACUUGAUCAUUUAGAGGAAGUAAAAGUCGUAACAAGGUUUCCGUAGGUGAACCUGCAGAAAAA